rnacentral:rRNA from 1 species
GACGAACGCUGGCGGCGUGCUUAACACAUGCAAGUCGAACGGAAAGGCCCUGCUUUUGUGGGGUGCUCGAGUGGCGAACGGGUGAGUAACACGUGAGUAACCUGCCCUUGACUUUGGGAUAACUUCAGGAAACUGGGGCUAAUACCGGAUAGGAGCUCCUGCUGCAUGGUGGGGGUUGGAAAGUUUCGGCGGUUGGGGAUGGACUCGCGGCUUAUCAGCUUGUUGGUGGGGUAGUGGCUUACCAAGGCUUUGACGGGUAGCCGGCCUGAGAGGGUGACCGGCCACAUUGGGACUGAGAGACGGCCCAGACUGCUACGGGAGGCAGCAGGGGGGAAUAUUGCAAAAUGGGCGGAAGCCUGAUGCAGCAACGCCGCGUGCGGGAUGGCGGCCUUCGGGUUGUAAACCGCUUUCGCCUGUGACGAAGCGUGAGUGACGGUAAUGGGUAAAGAAGCACCGGCUAACUACGUG